GUUUGGAAUGGAGAAAAACUCUGGCUAAUGUGAAACAAAUGGAAAUGGAAGAUGCUGAAAAAGAAAGUAAAGAUCAGAGAGUAUUAAGAAUCCAACAAUUCAACUGAAUUACAUAUAUUCCUAACCAUUGUAAAUGGAAGAGUAUGAGAAGAUGGAAAGCCGAGCAGCUAAUAAGAGGCGAAGCUGGCAUCAUGGGAAGAUAUCCUAAUCCUUUCGCUCCAUUUCCUGUUUCAAAAUUACUUGGAAAUAUUACCUGGAGAAAAAAAGGUAACAAUUUCAAAAGAAAUAGAAUGGCUUGACAUUAAGAAUAUCAAUGAUCCAGGGAAAAGUUCUUGGUGAACGAUAUGCAAACAGCACUAUUUCAAAACAACAUGCAAGCAAAGAGCAAUGGAAAAUAUCUUGUUCUAAAAUGGUCUAGAAAGAAGAAAAUAUUUGAAACCUAUAAUCAUACAAAAAUUGUAAUUAUUACGUUUUAAAUUCUUAAAAAUAUUUGGAAUACCAAAUGGAUUCUUUGGAAUUAUCUGAGGUUAGAUUUUACAGGAAUCACUAACAUCAUAUAGUAAUCAUGAUACUCAAUUUUCUGAGCAUGAGGAGCCCCAACAGAUGAAAUGUUACAACUCAUAACAAUACUUAUUUAUACUGCAAUGAAGCAGUCUGGGUUAAGCAUUGGUACAAUAAUCAAAGAACAAUAGGUGCCGUUUACUCAUUUGCUGAAUAAUGAUUAAUAGAAUAUCAAGACAUCAAUUUCUUUGAAACAUGUUGAUACAAUAUUGCUAAUUUGAGAAAUCAGUUUUGCUUUAUUUUUUUCUGUUGCAAAAUAAUCAAAUCAUUAGUACAGAACAUAAUUCAUCUUUUGCAUCCCUUAGUUCACUAUCCUUGUAUAAGACCACAGGUGGGUCACUGAAUUAAAAAAUCCCUUUAAUAUAUAUUUUUUUAAACACAGUGGUAUGAUAGUACUCAAUUAUUAUGAACUUUGAAUUGCACAUUUCUUUGUGAAAGAAAUUGCUUUCAGAAACUCAUCCAAAAAGAUUUGUUCAGGAAUUUUUCAGUUCAAGUAGCACCUGGAGAAUCAUAUCUUUGAAGAACAUUUUUCACAAUAAAAUAUAGUUUCCAAAAUAAGAUAAUUCACAUGUGGAUUGAUUGAAGGAACAAGAAUCUGUGAAAAAUACCAGAAGAUGUGAGAAAAGUGCCAAAAUGGGACUAAACUUUUUUGAUUGACCAUGGAGCCUUCAUAUACAAUGAGGUACAGGUAGUCCUCAACUUAUGACAAUUGAGCCCAAAAUUUCCAUUGUUAAGCAAGUUGUUAAAUGAAUUGUGCCCCAUUUUACAACUUUUUUUGCCACAGUUGUUAAGCGAAUCACUGCAAUUGUUAAGUAGAUCAUGCAGUUGUUGAGUGAAUCUGGCUUCCCCCAUUGACUCUGCUUGCCAGAAGACAGCUGGGGAGAUUACAAAUGGUGUUCACAUGACACAUGGACAGUGCAACUGUCAUAAAUACAUGUCAAGUUGUCAAGCACUCGAAUUUUGAUCACAUGAUAUAUGGGAUGCUGCAACAAUGUGAAAAAUGGUCCCAAAAAAUUUUUUUUCAGUGCUGUAGUAACAUCGAAUGGUCACUAAAUGAAUGAUCAUAAGCCAAGAACUACCUAUAUCAUGCAUUGUGGGCAUCUUGUACAUAUACAAAAUGAAGCCUCCUUACUACAGAUUAACUUUGUCCAGAAUGCUUCGUUCCUAGAAAUUUUAUCCAAUUGGAACCUAUUUAAAUUAACCUUUCAUCCUAAAACAUACUCUCAUUCAAAGCAGGAAUCCCCAAUCCCCCAGGCCUCAGCCGACUACCAGUCACCAGCCUGUUCAAAACCAUGUUGCAUGAGUGAUAGGCAAACGUGUGUGCAGGAAGCUCCACUUGUGUGAGUAGCAGGCAAGCAUGCAUGCGCAAAGCUCCAUUUUGCACACAAGCACAAAUGCCCUCCAUUCUGCUUGCAUGAGUGGAGCUUGGCAUGUGAGUGCAUGUGCCCACUGCUCAUGCAAGUGGAGCUUCGUACGCAACACAAGGGCCCACCGCUCGUAUGCGAAACUCUAUUUGUAAAGUAGCGGGUCCAUGCUCGCCACUUGCAACAAUGGAGCUGUGUGCACGCGCUCACCCACUCACAAUACACCCACCCCCCGGUGCUAUGCCUACAAGCUGGAAAGAUUGGGGACUGCUGAUCUAAAGGACAAAUUGAAUUGAAGGAAAAGUAAUAUAAACAAAAACUGAUGCGCUCAAUAUACUUUAUAUUGAUCUUUGGUUCAGCUAUGGAAUUGUUGCUUCUCAAAAAAUUGACCAGUUUAGUGUUUCCAAUUCUUCCAAAACCUUUUAACCAGAAACGCUAAAACUUAUUUAUGAGCUCUUCUCAGUAUGUGCCCCAUCAAAGAACCAUGUAUAAAUUUAAGCCAAAUUCUAUUUUCAGAAUGAUAAAACAGUUACAGCAAAAAACAAGUGAAUUAUGAAACCAUUUGAUUUUUUUUUUAAAAAGUAUUCUAUUGUAUUUUUCUCCAUAGUUCUGAACUUACAGACAUGUCUUUGCCAGGCAGCCUUCGCUUUUCUUGUAACAUUAUAGUUUCCAAACUUUUAUAAUACAGAAUUUCUGCCAAUUUUAA